GCAAGUACCAACACAGACCCAGUACUGGCAGCGUCAGCAAGUACCAACACAGACCCAGUACUGGCAGCGUCAGCAAGUACCAACACAGACCCAGUACAGGCAGCGCCAGCAAGUACCAACACAGACCCAAAUAGAAUAGUUGCUGCUCCACCAAAUUACCCAGCAGAUUGGCCCCCAGUCUUAACAUACGUUAUAAGGACUGAGUUAGUGCGCAGAGGUCCAUUUUUAAACCAGGCCUGGAUUUUUUUCUUACCCUAAAGACAAGUCUAGAAGAGACGCCGUACCCAUUCAGGCUUAUUACAGAGACCGCUGUGUUACGUUCCCCAGAUUAUGUGUUGUAGUUUGUGUAUUUGCAUGUGUUUAUUUCAGGAAAUGGCUUCCUGAAAUCCCUCAAGCAGCUGAUUGGUCGACUCCAGGGCUAAUUGGAGAGCUGACCCCGCCCCCUCGUCAAGACACAGCUGUCUCCAAUUACCCAUUCCUUCAGAAGCUAUAUAAAAGCCAGUGUUCUGUUCAGGAGUGCUUGUUGUAGAGGAUUUUGCUGGAGGUAGAUUUGCUAGAGAAAUUUGCUGGGAGGUCAUUGUAGAGAUUUUGCUAGAGAGAUUUUGCUGGGAGUUCAUUGCUGAGAGUUCAUUGCUGAGAGUUGGUAUGUUUUGUGAGUUUGUUGCUCAGAUAGAACUUAUUUGAUGUCCUUUGUCUCUUAGUUUGGUUUGUGAAAUUGUUUAAUAUUCUGUUUCAUUUGUUCCCAGGGGGGAAGGGGAAGGCACCUAGGGAGUGCUUAGGCAAGAGGCCCGCGGGCAUACAUAUACCCGUAGCAUAUUCGCUGUCUAGGCACACUAGGUAAGACCUGGGCGGACCACCCCUUGUAUUUUGGUUAGGGCACCAGGUGGUGCUAAAUUAGCUAAGUAGGGGGGGCUUUGAGAUUUACUUUCUUUGCUUUGGUUCCGUCCAGCCCCUUUUCCCCAUAUUACCAUGUAAAGGAAUAAAGUCCUUGUAAACGGUACCACAUUCUGCUUGUCAUUUUUACUCGCA
ensembl:lncRNA